rnacentral:rRNA from 1 species
GACGAACGCUGGCGGCGUGCUUAACACAUGCAAGUCGAACGGAAAGGCCCUGCUUGCAGGGUGCUCGAGUGGCGAACGGGUGAGUAACACGUGGGUGAUCUGCCCCUUACUUUGGGAUAAGCCUGGGAAACUGGGUCUAAUACUGGAUAGGACCAUGCUGUAGGUGGUGUGGUGGAAAGAUUAGUUUCGGUAAGGGAUGAGCUCGCGGCCUAUCAGCUUGUUGGUGGGGUAAUGGCCUACCAAGGCGUCGACGGGUAGCCGGCCUGAGAGGGUGGACGGCCACAUUGGGACUGAGAUACGGCCCAGACUCCUACGGGAGGCAGCAGUGGGGAAUAUUGCACAAUGGGCGCAAGCCUGAUGCAGCGACGCCGCGUGGGGGAUGACGGCCUUCGGGUUGUAAACUCCUUUCAGCUAUGACGAAGCCCUUGUGGUGACGGUAGUGGUAGAAGAAGCACCGGCUAACUACGUG